rnacentral:rRNA from 1 species
UAAUACUCCAUAGUUCGUUAUUACUGGAAUGUUUUUCGAACGAAAGAUCCGUCGCUUCAGGAUGAGUCUGCGGCCGAUUAGGUAGUUGUUGGGGUAAUUGCCCAACAAGCCUGUAAUCGGUACGGGUUGUGGGAGCAAGAGCCCGGAGAUGGAUUCUGAGACACGAAUCCAGGCCCUACGGGGCGCAGCAGGCGCGAAAACUUUACCAUGCGGGCAACCGUGAUAAGGAAACCCCGAGUGCCAGCACAGGCUGGCUGUCCGCCAGUUUAAACAACUGGCGAAAAAAGGGCCGGGCAAGACCGGUGCCAGCCGCCGCGGUAAUACCGGCGGCUCGAGUGGUGGCCGCUAUUACUGGGCUUAAAGGGUCCGUAGCUUGAUAAUAGGGUCCCUUGAGAAAUCCGCCGGCUUAACUGGCGGGCGUUCAGGGGAAACUUGUUUUCUAGGGACCGGGAGAGGUGAGGGGUACUGCCGGGGUAGGAGUGAAAUCCUGUAAUCCCGGUGGGACCACCUAUGGCGAAGGCAUCUCACCAGAACGGGUCCGACAGUGAGGGACGAAAGCUGGGGGAGCAAACCGGAUUAAAUACCCGGGUAGUCCCAGCUGUAAACUAUGUGCGUUAGGUGUGU